AAACUUGAGAGUUUGAUCCUGGCUCAGAACGAACGCUGGCGGCAGGCCUAACACAUGCAAGUCGAACGAACCUUCGGGUUAGUGGCGCACGGGUGAGGAACACGUGGGAAUAUACACUUCGGUGCGGAACAACGUCUGGAAACGGACGCUAAUACCGCAUAAUGACUCCGGUCCAAAGAUUUAUCGCCGAAGAAUUAGCCCGCGUCUGAUUAGUUUGUUGGUGGGGUAACGGCCUACCGAAACGACGAUCAGUAGCUGGUCUGAGAGGAUGAUCAGCCACACUGGUACUGAGACACGGACCAGACUCC
rnacentral:rRNA from 1 species